UCCCCGUGUCUCCAUCUCGGCUGCCCACCAAUUUCAUGUGCUGCUGCCUUUUAGGGGCAGUUUCACACCUUCAUGAGACACAGAAAAAGCCAAAGGGCUGGGGGUGGCUCCAGCAGCCCGUCUCGCUGCCGUCUCACCUUCCCCUCGGCUGACGUGUGGCGGUUCCUUGUGGCAUCCAGGGACAGGAACGGUUCUUUCUUGUAUUCUUUCUUGUAUUCCUGUAGCUGCUGAAUAUAUUCAGUGAGCUGAAUGAAUCCCCAUCUGGCAGCAUCUGUCCUGCAACAUUUGCAGCUUCAGCUUCUGUUGUGGAGAGGGAAGGGAAUAGAAGAUAAGAAAGGGAAAUAAUUCACAAGCCCACAGAGGCUUUAACAGUAUCAGCGAGCUGUGAUCUGCGCAAGUGUACAGCUACAGAAAGCACCGGGAGCUUUUUCAUAAGCCAGCUGGAAAGAUUUAAAGCCCUGAUUUCAGGGUGGCAUUUUUAAAAUAAUUAGGUGAUGGAGCCUAGGUCCUGGUUUUAAGUUACCUGUGAGUCUUAAUCUUGCUGCAAUUAAAGGAGGUUUGGGUUCUAGGUGUGUUCUGGGAAUGUGACUUGGAAUAAAGUUACAUCAAUUUUUAUUGCUGCUCAGCCACAAAAUUCUGACAUUUACAGUAAAAUAUUUACUGGGAACAUGGGAUUUGUCCAAGAGCCAAGCUCAUGCAUUGUCAGGCUCAGAAAAUGUGCUGUUACAGGUGAGUGAGGUUUGUGGCCAGUCCCUUUGGGAGAUGGGACUUGCUGCUUUUCCUUUAUUAUAAAGGAGAUUUAUCGCUGCUCACCAGUGGAAAACCUUGCUGGGACAGUGCUCAGGGCUGCACCGAGGGGGCAUUAUUUGAACAGUAUGGCAAAUGGCAAGCACUGACCCAGGACAACUCGCAGGUGAUCCAUUUUCCCACACCGUGCUGGGCCAGUGCUUCUGGGGGACGUCCCCAUCCCUGGGAACCAGCCAGCAGGGAUCGGGGCUGGCAGAGCUGGGAGCAUGGCAGGUGGAGGCCUCUCACCUGGUGGCAGUCAGGUGAGAGGCAGGGUGGAGAAGGGAGGGAGGUCUCUGAGCAGGUUCAGCUAUUAAAUGCAGAGGGCACAACCCAAAAUCAGCAACAGAGGCUGACACCGUAAUGUCAGGCCUAGAUGAGAUGUUCCCACUGGUGUGCCGUGGAUUAGGAGGGGAUGAAGCUUCACCUAGUGGAGAAUUAGGAAAGAGGGGAAAAAAACAGAAUCACCACCCAUUGCUUAGACACAUGCAGCUCUGAAGAGUUUUCCAGUGUUCCUGUUCCCAGGACAAAGUCACUCAAUGGGUGCUGUGUCCCAUGCUAAAGCUUUGCCCUGGGCAUUGUCAAAAUGCCCAACCUGAGCAGCAUCUUUACUUUCAUUUCUUGCCAUCCUCAGCCCUUCUCUUAUCCCUGGUUCCUGCUGCUUUGGCAGCUCAGCGGUGGCGGCUCUUGGGGGGAUGUUCAGAGCAGCACUGACCUAUGUUUGGUGGAAAAGGGUCCUCUCUCCUGGCUACACGGGGAGACCCUGGAAGAAGCAAGGCCGCAAAUCUGACCUAGGAAACUGGGUGACUUGGGAAGUUGUACUAAAUCGUCCUGAUGUGUGAGCUGCUGCUUGGAAGCAGCAUUCCCUCCUGCAGUACGGGAACGGUGGGCUACAGGCAGGAAGCAAAUUGCACAAAACUGCCCUUUUUCCAAGCAAAGUGGGGAUGGCUGAAGAGGAAAGCAACCUCUCCGGGUCACUGUCAUGUGUGCCAACUGUCCUGCAGUAAACUGUAAAACACCCCCUGGACCCAAUGGAGCGGAAAACAUCCGAUCAUGCAGAGGUGGAGGAGAGGCGCUGCAGGAACAAGUGGUGAUGUUACGGAGGGAGUGUGCAGACAGGAGCAGGACGCAGGUGGAGACCAGCUCCACAGUCAAACCAAGUUACACCUGCUGUAUGUGCUGGCCGUGGAGGGGUGAGACCGAGCCUCUCCCUCAGCUGCUCCUGCAGAUGUUGUCCCCAGGCUGGGCUGGACACCCCCAGCCGUGCUCCUCCAGCCCCACCGCUGCUGCCUGGGCGCAGUUGGCUGUCCCAGCAGGCACCCUCCCCAUGCGGGGAUGCUCAGCACAAUUAAUCCUGCCCAGCGUCCAGGGACAUCCCUGUCCCGCUGUGGAGCUUUCCUUUGUAGUGAUUAAAUACAGAAUUACUCAAUUUAAAGUGUCUGCCUACAAAAACAGAAGGCAUGGAAGAACCUCAUGUGUUCCUCGAGGCCCUAGAGGGUUUAGAAGAGCCUAGGAGCAAAUUAGAAAAGUAAUUAUUUUAAUUCACUGGGGAGGUUGUCAUCAUCUGGCUCCAUUUGUGAGCCUGGGAAUUCACACAUUUACCUGGUGAGCAUGAGCCCUUCAUAAGCGCAGGACUGUGGUCAGAAAUUUGUCAAAAGAAGGGGUUGUUGGCUCAGUAAAUGCUGUGUUUGGACAGGAAAGUGUGGUCCUUGGGGAAGCCAAGGCUGGGGGGGGGCAUUGCUGCCCACGUGCUGGGUGAUGCCAUCACAGGGGACAUGAGCACAGCAUGCCUGGUGGGGCAAGCGAGCCACGGAGCCUGGCCAUGCUGUGAUGUCCUCAGAGCAUCACCCCAUGGCUGAUGUGCUCCAGGGCAAUAAGUGCCAAAAAAUAACCCUAGUACCCAGGGGGAGUGCCUACUUGUUAUCUGACCAUCUCUCCUAGUCCUCACCCCACCUUAAUCUCUGUUAUGCCACAUCCUCAAAUAGUGGCACUUGCUUUGGUCUCUCUCCCAUUCUUAUUUCUGUGCCAGCCUCACAAUAUCCUGUGUCCGUCUCUUGGAUUGCAGUAAAUGAAAAGCAAAGGUUGGGGAUAAGCUAGCAUUUAAAUUAGAGGUUUAACACCCACAGGACUAGAGUGCUUAAACUCACACCUCCACUGCUGUACCCCAGCAGGAUGAACCAAGCUGCUCAUGGGGAUGCAGGAAGAUAAUUGCUCUUGUAAUGCUUUAUAGAGAAUCGUUUGCACUCUUUGAAGGAAAAUAUCUCAUAUUUUGCAUGACUGACACUGGUAUCAGACCCUUUGUGCACAUGGCCACGGGUGCUUGAACCUUAAUGUUACAGCAAAUUACUGGGAUUAAAGGGUAAAAAAACUCCAGUGCUGCCUGAUCUGCACCCAGUUCGUUGUACUCCCUGCCCCUGCUGAAAUCUGCAGCUUCCUUGUGGAAUCAGAGAAUCGCAGGAUUAC